rnacentral:rRNA from 2 species
CCUGGUGCCCAUGGCGUAGUGGAUCCACGCCGAUCCAUCCCGAACUCGGUUGUGAAACGCUACAGCGGCGAAGAUAGUUGGAGGGCAACCUCCUGCCACAAUAGCACGGUGCCAGGA